UAGGGAAUCUUCGGCAAUGGACGAAAGUCUGAUCGAGCAACGCCGCGUGAGUGAAGAAGGUUUUCGGAUCGUAAAACUCUGUUGUUAGAGAAGAACAAGGACGUUAGUAACUGAACGUCCCCUGACGGUAUCUAACCAGAAAGCCACGGCUAACUACGUGCCAGCAGCCGCGGUAAUACGUAGGUGGCAAGCGUUGUCCGGAUUUAUUGGGCGUAAAGCGAGCGCAGGCGGUUUCUUAAGUCUGAUGUGAAAGCCCCCGGCUCAAGCGGGGAGGGUCAUUGGAAACUGGGGGACUGGAGUGCAGAAGAGGAGAGUGGAAUUCCAUGUGUAGCGGUGAGAUGCGUAGAUAUAUGGAGGAACACCAGUGGCGAAGGCGGCGCUCUGGUCUGUAACUGACGCUGAGGCUCGAAAGCGUGGGGAGCAAACAGG
rnacentral:rRNA from 1 species